rnacentral:lncRNA from 1 species
AUGCAAACAAAGUUCGUCUGUAUUACAUGUUACACCCGGUGGAUGGUGGCUGUCCUGCAAAGAAGCUUCGAACAGACAAUGGCAGUGCAGAGGGAGAUGUGGACAAGAACAAGUGCUGCACGCUGUGCAAUAUGUCGUUCACUUCGGCGGUGGUGGCCCAGUCGCACUACCAGGGCAAGAUUCACGCCAAGAGACUCAGGCUACUGCUGGGGGAGCCACCUGCCAUCACAACUAAAGGUAGGAGGUGCUGAUCUAAGAUCAGGUUCACACUGUCUAAAUCACAUUAUUUAAAGGCCAGGCUGUUCCCGGGUCAGUAUUCAUACUUUAAUGAGAUAUGAGAUAAUGAGGCAAUUAUUCUUGAGAAUGAGUUCAUUAUUAUAAAUGCUCAAGUUAUUAUUUAUUACUGAUGUUUGAUGAGGUAGGUAUGAUAUAUUAUAUAAUUGCUGCUCACAGUUAAGAGUACAGGGAUUUUUAAAAAUCCCUAAACCUACAUUUUAAAUUGCUUGUUAAUGCAAAUAUGUAAUCAGCCAAUCGCAUGGCAGCAACUCAAUGCAUUUAGGCUUCAAGACCAGUGUUGGGAAGGUUAUUGUGAAAUAGGUUACAGAUUACAAGUUACCCUAUAUAAAAAGCAAUAAAUAGUGUAACUGUGAUGUUACUGAUUACUUUUCUAAAUUUCUAACAAAUAUUUUCAACUGUUAAUCAUUUUGAAACCAGUCAAGGUUAAGCUUACAGUAGGACUCAACAUUGGUUACUGUCAGACUUUCAAAAUUCUUUAUCACUUGAAUUAAGAUUAUAAUAAUUGAAAUUUAAAUCACAGCCACCACAAAAUCAGACGUUAGCACCACUUUUUACUUUGAGAUCAUUCUGAUAUUAAAUACAGAUUUACAAUCAAAACAAGAAAUAGUUUAAUAGAUAUGAUACUGUUUUUGAAAUCAAAUCAUCAUAUGACAGGAAACACAGUUAAUUUAAAAUAAAUAAAGCAUAUAUAUCCACCCCAAAUAGAAAUAAUACAGUUAUCGAAUAAGUUCUAUUCUGUGUUUAAUAUUCUUAAACUAAUUGUCCAUAUCGUGGUUUGUAUACAAGUGUACUAACCUACUUUUAGUAUUUAUUUAGAUCAUUCUGAUAUUUAAAUACUAGAUUUUACAAUCAAAACAAGAAAUAGUUUAAUAGAUAUGAUACUGUUUUUGAAAUCAAAUCAUCAUAUGACAGGAAACACAGUUAAUUUAAAAUAAAU